rnacentral:rRNA from 1 species
GACGUAGGGCGCGAGCGUUGUCCGGAUUUAUUGGGCGUAAAGAGCUCGUAGGCGGCUUGUCGCGUCGUCCGUGAAAACCCGGGGGCUUAACCCUGGGCUGGCAGUGGAUACGGACAGACUAGAGGUAGGUAGGGGAGAAUGGAAUUCCCGGUGUAGCGGUGAAAUGCGCAGAUAUCAGGAGGAACACCAACGGCGAAGGCAGCACUCUGGGACGUGACUGACGCUGAGACGCGAAAAGCGUGGGGAGCAAACAGG